CGAAUCCCCAGUAUUGGGUCAGGUCCCGGGAAUUUAUUCGGAACCCCUAUAGACUGCUAGAUGGUCGCCCUCAAGUCAUGGAGGCACAGGGGAAAACCAAUGAACGUCCAAAGCUGUGCUUUCUCAAAACAGACGAUUCCAUCCUCUCCCCAUUGUGGUCCCAAGAAAAUCACACCAGUGGAGCAGUAAGAAUGGGGGCUUGGUGUGGAUCAUCACAGCCCCGUAACUGAGGGACGGAGGUGGAGACGACCCAGGAAUAAACCACAAAGUGAAUGGGCUCCAGGUGGCUCCAUCGAGAGCCAUGAGUCCCAUUGGGGAGAGGUGACAUAUGCUCUGUGCUUCUUUGUAUUUAGAGCCCCUGCCCUCUAGAAAAUAUUUUUACUCAAAAUUAAGUUGUCAUUGAGAUAUCAUUUUAUUUUUAUUAUGAAUAGAUUUCACCUAAACUCAAUAAAGCUGAAUGUAUGUCUUUGAGAUUUUUUAAAUGUGUGGAAAGGAAGUAAAUCCCACCCCGGUACAUGACCCUGGUAUUCUCAGCACCGUGCUUCUGAAAUCUUCCUGAAGUCGAUCUUUUUUCCCCUCCCUUCCUCCUCUCCAUUCAUUUAUGACCCAGACCCUGUCGUAGGCACUGAAUAUACAGCAGGGAAGGAGACAGGCCCAGAUCUGGCUCUGGUGGGGCUCACAUCCCACCAGGUCUAAUAGAAACAAACAGGGGACGAAACAUUUUCAUUAGAGCUAGUGCCAUGAGCAAAAGGAAACAAGAUGAGUGGGGGUCACCACAGCUCCUAGCGUGGGACAGGCAGAGAUGGCUGCUCCGAGAGGGUGAAUUUGUGAGACUUACAGAACAGGAGACAGACCCAGCGCAGAAUGCCCCAAAGCAGAGGGAACGCCGUACUUGCCAAAUCCUGCAGGAAAUGCCAGGCAGAGAUGACCAGGACAGAGCUUCCC
rnacentral:lncRNA from 1 species